CCGGGCAGCCCCUGCCCUGGAGUGAGUAUUGUUUUGCUCCUUUGGCAGAACUUCCUGGAUCAAGUUAAGAAAGUUCGUCUGGCUGCCAGAAGGUUUCUUGUGUGGAUUUAUUGAGCCCCCACUGAGCAGAGGCGUCGAGGCUGUGAGUUGUAAGACACUAACACUCAUUCAUUCAGUGGAUCCUUUUGAGCAUCCCCUCUGAUCCAGGUGCUGGAGAUACAGGGGCAAGGAGACCAACGAGGGAACAGUGACUCUCACAGAGGAGACUGACUUUGUCCACAUGGUGAUGAAGAUGGCUGGGCUAACCCUUGAGUCACAUCCUUGUACAAACCAAGUGAAGAAACCAAGAGUCCCGCAUUCUCUGCUCUGCUGCUCCAGAGGCAGACACACCAUGACUCCCCUAAAUGUGUUGCCCUUGAAGACUCAAGCUCUCAGCCUGUCUCCACUUCAAAUCAGAGUUGAUCCCACCAAGGAGAGAAUUCCUCUGCUCCCCUAAGGAGCUCUGGCUCCCCUGCCCCUUGCUGUCACCCUUAUGCCUCCCGGGAAAGGGGCCAACACAGUAGUCAGUUUCAGAGGGACACUCUCUUGAGAAAUCAGCACAGAGCGAGCCACCUACCCUGGCAGGCAGUGGAGUUCUUGGUAGGUGGGCUCACUGGACAGAAAGCGCUCACCACCUAGUGCUGUAGGUUCAUCAUCUCCCUUAGGUAUCAGUCCUUGAAAGCUUAAAUUAAAUAGUUUGAGAGAUGCUGAGCAGAAAUGCUAUUUCCUGCUGCCUUUGACACACUCUCCAUAGGGUGCCAUAUAAGAGCAGCAGCAGCGUGCAUUCAGCUCCUCCUACGUGCCAGGCUAUGAGACAACUAUUAAUAUCCCCACUUUACGGGAGAGAAAACAAAGCUCAGAGAGGUCAACAGGCUUGCUCAUUCUUCUGCAGCCAGUAAGUGGCAGAGCCAAGAUUCCAACAUGGGGCUCCAUGCAAGUCUGCAGCUACCUCCGUGGGCUGGUGUGGCCAAGCCUUCCUGAAUGCUCACUGUUGGUCAGUUUUGGAGGUUUUUUUUCUUUUUUCUUUUUCUUUUUUUUUUUUUCAGAUGGAGACUUGCUCUGUUGCCCAGGCUGGAGUCCAGUGGCACUAUCUCGGCUCACUGCAACCUCUGCCUCCUGGGUUCAAGCAAUUCUCCUGCCUCGACCUCCCAAGUAGCUGGGAUUGCAGGCACCUGCCACCACGCCCGGCUAAUUUUUUUUUUUUUUUUUUUUUUUUUUAGUAGAGACAUGGUUUCACCAUGUUGGCCAGGCUGGUCUUGAACUCUUGACCUCGUGAUCUGCCCAUCUCAGCCUCCCAAAGUGCUGGGAUUACAGGCAUGAGCCACCACAUCCAGCCCAGUUUUGGAGUUCAAUCAGUGAAAACCUCACUUAGCUUUUUAUUUUUCCUAUCAGCAGAUCAUGAACCAUCAUAGCCUAAGAUGGGGGAAAAUAGCCUCUGGAAACAAAGAUUGAUGCAAAAAAAAAAAACAAAACUGGAAAUAAGUCAGUGCCAGCACUUGUGUGCCCUUUUUGUCUCGGCUGCUGACAUGCUAGGAGUUGAGUAAAAAAGCAUGGAUCCCUAGAGAGGUGAUUUGAGGAUCCCUGGAAGCUCCCAUCACCUAACAGCUUCCCAGUUUACAGAGAUUUUACCUGGAGACCUUCAUUUCUUUAGGCUUGAAAUCCUUUUUUGAUUUUCAAGAGACUGUAAUUAAAAUGACAAUACCUCUGACAGUGGUCAUAUUAAACUUGCAUCAGCUACAAGCUUAAGCAAGGGAACAGGGGUGCUGCUUUAGGAAAGGUAAGCAGAAAGCAGGUAUGGGGACCUUAAUGAGAAAACCUACUUUGCCUCCACCGUAAUUUCACCUACGGCCAGCAGGAAAGGGAGAAAACCAUCUCAUUUAUUUAUUGAUGCAUCACAAAUUAUUCUUGACACUUAGUGGCUUAAGGCAACAAUCAACACUACUUUAUGAGGUCUCUGUGGGUCAGGAAUCUGGAAGUGGCUUAGCUGGCUAUUCUCUCAUGAAGGUGCAGUUGAGAUGUUGGCUGGGGCUGCAGUCUCAUCUGAAGGCUCAUUGGGGGCUGGAGGAUCUGCUCCAUGGUGACUCGCUUAUGUGGCUGUUGGCAAGGUGAUCUGACCAUUGGCAGGAGACCUCAGUUCCUCAUCACACAGACCUCCCUGCAGGGCUACUGGAAUGUCCUCACAACAUGGUGGCUGGCCUCCCUCUCUUUCGGCAAAUGAGCCAAAAGAGAGAGCAAAGAAGAGGCUGCAAUGUCUUCCAUAGCCUUGCCUUAGAAGUCACAGCCUCCCAUUUCUACAACAUGCUACCCGGUACACUACUCAGUGUGGGAGGGUCCUAUGCAAAGAUGUGAAUAAGGCCCAUAGGAGGCAGUGAGAUGGUUGGGGCCAUCUUGGACACUGAUUUAAGGCUAACACAAUUAUUAUCUUUAUUUUACAAGUGAUAAAUAAAGGCAUGGUGUGUUAGGCCGUUCUUGCAUUGCUAUAAAGGAAUACAUGAGAUAGGGUAAUUUAUAAAGAAAAGAGGUUUAAUUGGUUCACAGUUCUGCAGGCUGCAGGAAGCAUGGUGUUGGCAUCUGCUUGGCUUCUGGGGAGGCCUCAGGGAGCUUUUACUCAUGGUGGAAGGUGAAGCAGGAGCUGGCAAGUCAUAAGGGGGAAGCAGGAGCAAGAAGGGAGAGAGUGGGGGAUGAGAUGCCGCACACUUAACCAGAUCUCGUGAGAGCUCACUUGCUAUUGUGAGGACAGCACCAAGCCAUGAGAGAUCCACCCCCACCACCCAAACACCAGGUUCACCUCUAACGCUGGGGAUCACAUUUCAACAUGAGAUUUGGCAAGGACAUAUGUUCAAGCCAUAUCACACAGACAACUGUUAUGUAUCCAUAAUAGUUAAAAACUUAAAAAAUUUAAAAUCAAUGCUUCCAUUUGACCAGAUGCAGUGGCUCAUGCCUGUAAUCCCAAUAUCUUGGG
rnacentral:lncRNA from 1 species